AUGUUGUUGCUCUGUCUGUUCAUACUUUUCAAUCACUUUGGUGGAACUACUGGGUAUGGAAUCAGACCAGACAAAAACACUACAGUGUUAAUGGAGGAUACAAACAUUACACUGUCAUGCACAUAUGAAGGCUCAAUAGACAGUCUGUACUGGUACCAACAAAAACCUGGAUCAAGACCAGAGUUUUUAAUAAUGAUCGAUGAAGCUUCUAAAUAUGUGACAGAGGCCAAUCCACCUUACCCACAUCUGUCAGUCAAACUUGAUAAAGUACAGAAACGUGUUCAUCUGGAAAUCUUCUCUGCGGCAGUUACGGAUUCCGCUAUGCAUUACUGUGCUUUGAGGCCCACAGUAACAGGAAACACACAUACACUGUACAAAAACCCUUACUGUGUGUAACAAUUCAGAGUGACUUUGCAUUUGAAAUGUAAACAAUGUGAAAUGUGUUCUGCUCUAUUUAAUUUGUGUCUUCAGUCUUUUCAGUGUCUGUAAGUGUGCGAUUUCUAAAAUGAACUACUUUGGUGUUCAGAUGGGAUCUUCAGCAUGGAAGAAGCAUUUCGUGGAUGAAUGAGAACAACAAUACAAUUCAAACUCAGCCAUCACAUCUUCAAAUAUUCCCACUCUGGAAAGUCCUUUAACUAAUAGCCUGUAUCUGACAGCAGCUACAACAAGUGCACUAAAAUAUCCAUCAUUAUGGAGAAACAAAAGUUUACACCUCUAGACUUUCUGAAAAGAAUCCUGAGGUAUUUACUAACCACAAAAGUUGUAUUUAGUGCAGAGCCCACACGGACCACAGGAUGAGCAUCCUCUGGCUGACAUAGGGUGAACAAACAUCUUGGUUUUCAGGGACAGUUCCAGUUUUUGGUGAAUGUACCAAUUUUACAGCAUCUACAAAACACCACACAAACACACUGCAAAAGUCCUUACCAGUAUAUCCCAGUGGUUAGCCGGCCAAAUGUGUAGGGAAUAGUUUCACUACUAGAAGGUGCUGAAUGGAUUACUUUAGCCAGGAAGAAUUUAACCUGAAUGAGAGCAGAAUAUGACAAUCAAUUACCAAAAGAGACAUUGUUAUUGUCUUUAUAAAUUAAAGUAAUAGUCUUUGUAUGUACUAUAUAAAAGUAGCUAAACAGGGUGAAGGAUUUUGUAUACAGUUCCUGAAUCCUUCCCAUGAAGUUAAUACCCCAAACAUGCAUAACAAUACCACAUGGUUGAUAUAUAUAUAUAUAUAUAUAUAUAUAUAUACAAAAAAUAACAUUAGCAACUAAACAACUAUACUUUCAACAGUAAUACACUUGCAGAAAGAAUAUAUAAUUUGUUUCAAGUGAGCCUAAAAUCCAAAGCCUACAUUCAGGAGUAGUAAAGAUAAACACAAAACAUAAAAUAAUAUUUGAAAAAAGUAAUGAGUGUUGUAUACAGUACAUUCACACUCUGGGAAAAUACACAUUCAAACUCAAAAAUGAAAACACAAACUGUUAAAAAUAUUUGUUAACUAGUUUUAUUUAUAUCAUAGUUCGUUUUAUUUUGGUAAUUUGUUUUUGUAAAACCAUAAUCUUGUGAUAACGUAAUGCUAUUUUGUAUUAUCUAUGCCACGCACAAUAGUGAUAUCAAUAAAAUAUACAACUUUUGAUUAGUAGAUAAUAACAAGUGAGAUUUCAAUUAUAUUUUGACCACUGAACUAGGAAAUGUCUCCAGUUUACAUUUCAGAAAACUAGUUAAUUUACACUACCACUUACCUUCAAUCCAGGCCUCAAUCCAGCAGGUUAUCCAGGCUAAACGCUACUUUCUUCAGUGGGUGUGCAGGUAAAAGCCAAACACCUCUGGCCCAUUUAUAGUUAUCCAAUCUUCCAUGAAAAAAUAAAAUGAAUGUGAAAAAACUUGUUUUUCUUUCCACUUGUUGCUCAUACCAACUAUGGUUUGCACAAAGGUACAUUCUGCAUCGCGUCAGGCGAACACUCGUCAAUUUAAGAAGACAAAAUUUAUUUAACUGAAACUUGUUUACUAAAACUAAUUACUGAAACUAAUUUAACUUAAAUUGACGUAAGUACACGCAUUUAAUAAAGUAACCUACAGCCUUGGAGAGCGUAUAGCAUCUUCCUCUUCCACAUCUGAAAAACUGAGGUGAUCCGCUCCGGUUGAAGACAAUGACAGGAUCCAAAACCUUUAGAUGACACCGAGAUCAUAUCGCCAUCUCUGUUGAAGCUGAAUAUUUCGACUUCAUAUUAAAGGCAACAGCACCACCUUGCGUUCAGAAUGCUUUCAUCCAAGGUUAUUUCUCAAAUUCCCAACAAGCAGUUUUUACUGUAGGUAUAGCCUAUUCUGUUCUUUUAACAGAAAUGUGGGAUACAUUGCAAUCAGCACAAUAAUAGUGUAGUAAUAAUAAUAAUGUAAUAAUGAAUCACAUUGUUAUUUGCAUAUAAUGUAUUCAUAUGUUUUCAUGCUAAAUUGAUUGAGUGUAAUUAUUACAGUACACAGUAUAUUCUUUAUUUUGGGUAAUGUUUGACUAUUUUCUAUAAGGGUCAAAUGAUGUUACUUCACCUGGCCACAACAAAACAACACAUUUUAUAUAACUUGUAAAUGAAUAUUAGGCCUACGUGUAAUAGGCCACUAACACAUUGCAAAAUACGAUGCAUUUUGAUAGUAUCACACAUGCACAACCACUGGCUGAUGAUCCCUUCAGUAUUCUUAAUAGGUGCACAACAGGUGAUUCUCCAAAGCGUUUCUCUGAAUUUGUAAAAGCAAAGUGAAGAAGCUCUGGUUUUGUUUUUUAAAUAAAUGAAUGAAUCUAAUAGAUGUUCCUUUCGUGCAAUAAAUGCAUGCAUUCAGGAUCAUGUCAUACUAGACCCUCUGCUCUCAGUCUACUAAAUCUGUGUGUAGUCUUCAGCGCAGUAAGUUUUGUCAAGGCUUUGGAAUUUUAUCUACAAUAAUUAGCUGAAUUAUUGAAUAUUAUCUUUUCCCCCUGAGUUUUGUUGCAGCUCUCCUUGUCUCCCUCCACUGGCUUUCAGCCCAGCUGCCUGCAUCAGAUUUACUCAUACUUAGAUUUAUUAUAAAGUGGAAGUGAUGUGACAUUCAGCCAAGUAUGGUGACCCAUACUCAGAAUUCAUGCUCUGCAUUUAACCCAUCCAAAGUGCACACACACAGCAGUGAACACACACCCAGAGCAGUGGGCAGCCAGUAAUGCUGCAGCACCCAGGGAGCAGUUGGAGGUUCGGUGCCUUGCUCAAGGGCAUCUCAGUCAUGCUAUUGCAUUGCCAGCCUGAGAUUCAAACCCACAACCCUAGUGUUAAGAGUCAAACUCUCUAACCACUAGGCCACAACUUCCCCAUAGUAAGCAUAAGCCUCACAUAUAGAUCUAUCACUGCAUCUGAACCCUCAACUAUGUCUCCUGGAAGUCUGCAAGUCUGUUGUAGAGCUGCUGUGAAUUUAUUUUUUUGCUUGCAACAAAAUCUGAUUUGUCAUGUAUACAAACUCAUAUUCUUAUGUAAUUUGAGGUGCUUUUAUUAACUUCUUCACAACUUAAAAUUUAAAAACUAAAAUAGAAUGUUUGACCUUUAAGUGUAUGUGCUCUAUUAUAUUGCAUAUAUACUGUACAUAUACAGUGUACUGUAUAUACACAUGAACCCAUUUAAAUGUAUGCAAAUAAAAAGGAAUCAAAAAUAAUCAGCAACUCUGAAAGGAAGACAAAACAAAGACACAAUCACCAAAAAGGUUAGCGAAUAUAUUAUAACAACAUAAUAAUAUUAAAAUAAACAGUUAAAUAAAUAUAUAGUGUAUACAGACGUACAUAAAUUAUGUAGGCUAGAAAUAAUAAUAAUAAAAAUAACAGUGUCUGAAAUAAAUAAAUGUGUCCGAAAUUAAAAACUAUAUAUGUUAUUCUAAUUUAAUUAUAUUAAAAAUAAUUAAAAUGUUAAAAUUAUUCAAAUAAGUGCGUGUGUAGAAUUUGUGUUAUAUGUAGAGGGUGAUCUAAACAAUGCUAAUCAUAAAAAGCAGUAUAAUAUUACAGUUAUUUUGUUAUAUGCAUAAGAACAUGAAGUAUUUUCACACAAUGACUAUAUCCAAGUAAAUCCAAGCAGGUCGUUCAGGAAAACCAAUGACGUUUACGCUCAUAAGUGAUUAAUGGUAGGAUGGCGUCAUCUGGUGCUCAUUUUUAAGCAGUACAUGUAGUUUUGAGCAGAGAACUGCAGACUAUGAUAAUGACAAUAGAUGGCAGUAGGUACUUAGUUUUGGUUGGGAGGAUUCUCUUGCUGUAGGCCCUCUGUUGGAGACUUCUGGCACUGUCUUCACAUCAGGAGUCCUGCAGAUUUGCUGAAGAAUUAGUCCAAACCACUGACGCCUGAUGGCAGUUUAGAGGUCUGGUGAUCUGUACAAGGCUUCAUCAAUGUGUUUUGCACAUAAAUGCGCAUGCACGUACGGCAUAUCACGAAAUGCUGAUGCACAUAUUAGAUACUAUUGAUUCAAAUAAAUACAAA
ensembl:lncRNA